rnacentral:lncRNA from 1 species
CGAUCCGUCUCGGCUUGCAGAGUGCGCCACCGCCCUCGGCCAAUCACCGCUCGCGCUUCGCAUUGGCCCCGCCUCCGCCCCGAAACUCUACUAGAAAGUUCCAGUGGACGUUAGACGCAAGGUUGGGGAUUGACCUCAGCGUUACCCAAUGGAGAUCGGGCAGCCGGAUCCUGGUCUUUUUUUCACACGGGUUCUGACCUUCGAGAAAUCUGAAAGAAGUCAAUGGCAAAUGGGAACUCUCAGCUCUCUCUACCUCCAACAGGAGCUGCUCUGUAUACAUGGUAUGCAGAUUUCUUUGAUGGGAAGGGUGUCAGUUUCUCUUGUAGUUAGACCAGUGACUGAUUCAUCACUGAACUAUCUCUUCCUAUAAUUCACUGCUACUUCAUUCAAUUGAUUGUAUCAUACGGAGCAGGGAGAAAUGCCAAGAGCAAUACAAAGAGAGUGAGUUGAUAAAUUCCAUUUCAGCUGAAAAGUUGAUGUUAUUUAUUAUUGGUAUCCUUGUGAGGACUGUCCCUUAGAAGCACUAGUAAUGUACAAGAACCCUGUUUUGAUAGCUGCAGUACAAACUCAGACCCAGUUAUUUCUGAGUAAAAAGAGGAUUCCUGCCUCAAAAAUGUAUGUAUCGAAACAAGGGAUGGAAAGAACAUAUGGACUAAGAAAUAACAAUAUUGAUUAGCACAUUAAGCAGCAAAAUUAAUCUGAUAUCUCAUUUAAGUGUAGCUGUAAUCAAACAGGUUUUAUCAGAUUUUAGAAGUGACAUUUCACUAAUUUGGCCCAAAGCUUUUAGCUGUAAGUUUUAUCAGCCCAGGCACAAAAUACAUACAACAGCUCCAGACAAAACUUGUUUGGGGUGUCCUUGGCCCAGUAACUAGUAUGGCCCUGAUAUGGUUGUGCUGAUACCCAGAUGUGCUGAUAACCUGCUAAAGAGGUGUUUGCAUUGACUGGAUUCCUACUUACCCUGAUAGUACUCCCUCAGUCCUAUUUAUUUCAUCUUUUGAAUUGUUAUUUUGCU